ACGGCAGACCGGCCCGAGACACUGACCCAGGAAGAA
rnacentral:scRNA from 1 species